CCUCCCACCUCGGCCUCCCAAAGGGCUGGGAUUACAGGUGUGAGCCACUAUGCUCUGCCAUAAUACAAUUUUAGACUCCAAGUUCCAAUACUUCCUGUCCUUGGUAGGGAAUGUGUUUGGAGGAAGUCUUAUUAAGAACUCUUCUUUAUUUCAUAAUAUUAAGAGAAGCUUAUUGUCAUUUGUACAUAUUUUGUUCUCUCAAAACCCUUUCUUCCCAUGUGGCACCAACACAGUGCAGAGUGCACAGAUUACUAUGAUACCCUUCCAGUUAAGGAGGCUGAUGGGAACCAGCCCCAUUUUCAGGGUGUCACUGGCUUGUGGAACUUGGGCAACACAUGCUGCGUGAAUGCCAUCUCACAGUGUCUCUGCAGCAUCUUGCCGCUGGUGGAAUACUUUCUCACCGGGAAGUAUAUCACCGCUCUGCAAAACGAUUGCAGUGAAGUUGCCACUGCUUUUGCCUAUCUGAUGACAGACAUGUGGCUGGGAGACUCAGACUGUGUCUCACCAGAAAUAUUCUGGUCAGCUCUUGGCAACCUCUACCCAGCAUUUACGAAAAAGAUGCAACAAGAUGCUCAGGAAUUCUUGAUUUGUGUCCUAAAUGAACUUCAUGAAGCUCUAAAAAAGUACCACUACUCCCGGAGAAGAUCAUAUGAGAAAGGAUCUACUCAGAGAUGCUGCAGGAAGUGGAUUACCACUGAGACAUCCAUCAUCACCCAGCUGUUUGAAGAGCAGCUCAAUUAUAGCAUCGUAUGUUUAAAGUGUGAGAAAUGCACCUACAAGAACGAAGUCUUCACUGUCUUCUCACUCCCCAUUCCAUCCAAAUAUGAAUGCUCCCUUCGGGACUGUCUCCAAUGUUUUUUUCAACAAGACGCACUGACCUGGAACAACGAAAUUCACUGCUCCUUUUGUGAAACCAAGCAAGAAACUGCUGUGAGGGCCAGUAUUUCCAAAGCACCAAAAAUAAUUAUUUUCCACCUAAAAAGGUUUGACAUUCAGGGUACAACAAAAAGGAAGCUGAGAACGGAUAUUCAUUACCCACUCACUAACUUGGACCUCACUCCUUAUAUUUGCUCAAUUUUCCGGAAAUAUCCUAAAUACAACCUCUGUGCAGUGGUGGACUAGAUCUUUUCCAUCAAUUGGAAAAAUCUGGAUGAAAUUAUUUCUGCACUUAAUGGUAUCGUUAACAUAUUUUAUCAUUAAAAUACUUUAAAAAUUAUAAAUUUUAUUUAACACAUAACUAAGUCUGUUAUGCUUUAGUCUGCUGUUUGAAUGUUACAUUUCAUGUGCUAAUUUGUUUGAAUUAUACUGUAAUAUUUUUAUACAUUUUCACUUGAUGCUUUGUAAUUAUUUAAAAUUAUAAGGAAUUACAUGAAAUAGUGGUAUUGUCAUUUUGCUGUGGUACUGAAAACACUGAGGUGAACUAACAGUCUCAUUUCUGCUUUAUUUCCCUAGAUCUACUGUAACCAGAUAAUCGCCCUUUGUUAUGUGCCCAUGGCAGGCAGUACAACAAGUAUAAAUUACACAGAACUUAAAAUUCCCUCAUUUAAUUUCACUGAACAGGAGGACAAACUUUCCCCUUUACCGUUUCAGAUGCACUAAAAGCACAGGUGGUAACUUCCAGAUUUCUAUCUUUUUUAGAGAAUCCCGUCGAGCUCUGCAAUGACUGCAGUAAAAUCUGUUGUUAUCUGUGAGUUUUUCUUCUUUGGAAAAUAAUCUAAGGCAAUCCUGGCAGAAAAAAACAAGUAGCAGAUACUCGUUAAUUCGAUUCUUCAAUAAUGUCAGAGAGCACCUAUUUAGUUAGUCACUCUGCAGGCACCAGUGAUUCAACAGCAAUCUACACAAAAGAGUUCCUGCCUUCCCAAAGCUUGUGAUCUAGUGAGAAGCAUAGACAAGUGAACAAUGACAGCACAGAGUGUGGCUCACCACCAGAUUCUCAUCUGAAUCUGACUUGCUUACAUCCCUUCAGCUUCCUUCUUUUGGCUGCAAGCCCUGCAUGGUCUCCUCAUCAUCAACAGGCUCCAGUUCAUGACAGCGAGGUUCUGCCUUCUGGCACUGCUCUCAUCCUGUCUGUCCUUUACUAAUCAGAGAAGGCUUUACUCUUUUUUGAGAUAGGGUCUCAUUCUGUCACCCAGGCUGGUGGAGUAUAGCGGCACAAUCACGGCUCACUGCAGCCUUGACCUUCUGGGCUCAGGUGAUCCUCCCACCUUAGCCUCCCAAGUAGCAGGGACUAUAGGCAUGUAUCACCACACCUAGCUAAUUUUUGUAGAGACGGAGUUUUGCCUUGUUGCCCAGACUGGUCUCAAACUCCUGGGCCCCAAGUGAUCUGCCCACGUCAGCCUCCCAAAGUGCUAGGAUUACCAGUGUGAGCCACCAUGCCCAGCCUUCAUUAUUCCUAAGGAUAAAGAUAUUUUCCCCUUUCCUAAUUUGACUUUUCUGGAGCUGAGUGGUAAGUACUAUGGUUUGAAAGGUAAAAUGGGUUCUUGAUGUCAACAUGAAAUUAUUCACAUACUGUAGCCCUACACCAAAAUGCUUACUUAUUCAUAGGUUACCACCAGAUUCACGUCAAAUAUUCCAAAAUUCAGGUGUUGCCAAUGUGACAGGAUUAAGAGAUGGGGCCUUUAAAGAGGUGAUAAGGCCAUGAGGGCUCCCCUCCCGGGUGAACAGGAUUAGGUGCCGUUUAGGGCUCGACAGGACGAGUCUGUCCUCUUUCGCUUCCACCUUCUACCCUGUGAGGAUGCAGCAAAAAAGCGCACCAGAUGCCGGCACCUAGACGAUGGCCUUCCCAGUCAAGAACUAAGAGAAAAUAAAUUUUUGUUCUUUACAAAUUA